rnacentral:rRNA from 1 species
UCGGGUUGUAAAGCUNUUUNNUCAGGGAAGAAACGGUGAGGGCUAAUAUCCCUUGCUAAUGNCGGUACCUGAAGAAUAAGCNCCGGCUAACUACGNGCCAGCAGCCGCGGUAAUACGUAGGGUGCAAGCGUUAAUCGGAAUUACUGGGCGUAAAGCGUGCGCAGGCGGUUUUGUAAGUCUGUCGUGAAAUCCCCGGGCUCAACCUGGGAAUUGCGAUGGAGACUGCAAGGCUAGAAUCUGGCAGAGGGGGGUAGAAUUCCACGUGUAGCAGUGAAAUGCGUAGAGAUGUGGAGGAACACCGAUGGCGAAGGCAGCCCCCUGGGUCAAGAUUGACGCUCAUGCACGAAAGCGUGGGGAGCAAACAGGAUUAGAUACCCUGGUAGUCCACGCCCUAAACGAUGUCUACUAGUUGUCGGGUCUUAAUUGACUUGGUAACGCAGCUAACGCGUGAAGUAGACCGCCUGGGGAGUACGGUCGCAAGAUUAAAACUCAAAGGAAUUGACGGG